GUGACCUGCGGAAGGUCAUUAAUGAAAUUAUAAUCCGGCGAGGGGAAAGGCGGAGAGUUGUAGCUGGCCUCUAGGGGCAUGUGCACGCUCUCUUCCGGACCUUUCGCCGUAUGGGCGCGGGGCGACCCGCGUCUUCAUAUACCUCUUCGUGUAGAAAGUCUUUGAAUGUUUUACCAUCAUCGAGUCGCGACUUCUAGGAGACGCGAUUCUUUGAGAAAAAAGUUAUUACAACUUUCAGCAACGGAUCUCUUGGCUCUCGCAUCGAUGAAGAACGCAGCGAAUCGCGAUAUGUAAUGUGAAUUGCAGAUCUACAGUGAAUCAUCGAAUCUUUGAACGCACCUUGCGCUCCUCGGUGUUCCGAGGAGCAUGCCUGUUUGAGUGUCAGUAAAUUCUCAACCCCUCUCGAUUUGCUUCGAGCGGGUGCUUGGAUGUUGGGGGCUGCCGGAGACACUGGAUUCGUCCAGGACUCGGGCUCCUCUUAAAUGAAUCGGCUCGCGGUCGACUUUCGACUUUGCAUGACAAGGCCUUUGGCGUGAUAAUGAUCGCCGUUCGCCGAAGUGCAAGACAGAAUGGUCCCGUGCCUCUAAUGCGUCGACGCCUCUAGGGGCGUCUUCCUCAUUGACGUUUGACCUCAAAUCAGGUAGGACUACCCGCUGAACUUAA
rnacentral:rRNA from 1 species